rnacentral:rRNA from 1 species
UACAGAGGGGGCAAGCGUUGUUCGGAAUUACUGGGCGUAAAGGGCUCGUAGGUGGCCAACUAAGUCAGACGUGAAAUCCCUCGGCUUAACCGGGGAACUGCGUCUGAUACUGGAUGGCUUGAGUUCGGGAGAGGGAUGCGGAAUUCCAGGUGUAGCGGUGAAAUGCGCAGAUAUCGGGAGGAACACCGGUGGCGAAGGCGGUUCUCUGGGCAUUACCUGACGCUGAGGAGCGAAAGUGUGGGGAGCGAACAGG